UGGGGAAUAUUGCACAAUGGGCGCAAGCCUGAUGCAGCAACGCCGCGUGAGGGACGACGGCCUUCGGGUUGUAAACCUCUUUUAGCAGGGAAGAAGCGAAAGUGACGGUACCUGCAGAAAAAGCACCGGCUAACUACGUGCCAGCAGCCGCGGUAAUACGUAGGGUGCAAGCGUUGUCCGGAAUUAUUGGGCGUAAAGAGCUCGUAGGCGGUUUGUCACGUCUGCUGUGAAAUCCCGAGGCUCAACCUCGGGCUUGCAGUGGGUACGGGCAGACUAGAGUGCGGUAGGGGAGAUUGGAAUUCCUGGUGUAGCGGUGGAAUGCGCAGAUAUCAGGAGGAACACCGAUGGCGAAGGCAGAUCUCUGGGCCGUAACUGACGCUGAGGAGCGAAAGCAUGGGGAGCAAACA
rnacentral:rRNA from 1 species